rnacentral:misc_RNA from 1 species
UACGUAGGUGGCAAGCGUUAUCCGGAAUUAUUGGGCGUAAAGCGCUCGCAGGCGGUCCUUUAAGUCUGAUGUGAAAGCCCACGGCUCAACCGUGGAGGGUCAUUGGAAACUGGGGGACUUGAGUGCAGAAGAGGAGAGUGGAAUUCCACGUGUAGCGGUGAAAUGCAUAGAUAUCGUAAAGAACACCUAUAGCGAAGGCAGCUUGCUAAACUACAACUGACGCUGAGGCGCGAAAGCGUGGGGAGCAAACAGG